GGUGACAGGUGGUGCAUGGUUGUCGUCAGCUCGUGUCGUGAGAUGUUGGUUAGUCCGCAACGAGCGCAACCCCUAUUGUUAGUUGCCAUCAUUCAGUUGGGCACUCUAGCGAGACUGCCGGUAAUAAACCGGAGGAAGGUGGGGAUGACGUCAAAUCAUCAUGCCCCUUAUGACCUGGGCUACACACGUGCUACAAUGGUUGGUACAACGAGUUGCGAGUCGGUGACGGCGAGCUAAUCUCUUAAAGCCAAUCUCAGUUCGGAUUGUAGGCUGCAACUCGCCUACAUGAAGUCGGAAUCGCUAGUAAUCGCGGAUCAGCACGCCGCGGUGAAUACGUUCCCGGGCCUU
rnacentral:rRNA from 1 species